AGAGUUUGAUCCUGGCUCAGGAUGAACGCUGGCGGCGUGCUUAACACAUGCAAGUCGAACGAUGAAAGCGGGAGCUUGCUCCUGCUGGAUUAGUGGCGAACGGGUGAGUAACACGUGAGUAACCUGCCCUUGACUCUGGGAUAAGCGUUGGAAACGACGUCUAAUACCGGAUACGACCUUCGGAGGCAUCUCCUGGGGGUGGAAAGAAUUUCGGUCAAGGAUGGACUCGCGGCCUAUCAGCUAGUUGGUGAGGUAAUGGGCUCACCAAGGCGACGACGGGUAGCCGGCCUGAGAGGGUGACCGGCCACACUGGGACUGAGACACGGCCCAGACUCCUACGGGAGGCAGCAGUGGGGAAUAUUGCACAAUGGGCGCAAGCCUGAUGCAGCAACGCCGCGUGAGGGACGACGGCCUUCGGGUUGUAAACCUCUUUUAGUAGGGAAGAAGCGAAAGUGACGGUACCUGCAGAAAAAGCACCGGCUAACUACGUG
rnacentral:rRNA from 1 species